rnacentral:rRNA from 1 species
UACGAAGGGGACUAGCGUUGUUCGGAAUUACUGGGCGUAAAGCGCACGUAGGCGGAUUUGUUAGUCAGGGGUGAAAUCCCGGGGCUCAACCUCGGAACUGCCUUUGAUACUGCAAGUCUUGAGUCCGGAAGAGGUGAGUGGAACUCCGAGUGUAGAGGUGAAAUUCGUAGAUAUUCGGAAGAACACCAGUGGCGAAGGCGGCUCACUGGCUCGGUACUGACGCUGAGGUGCGAAAGCGUGGGGAGCAAACAGG